GUAGGUGAACCUGCGGAAGGAUCAUUAUCGUGGGGCUUCGGCCCUCUCGAGAUAGAACCCUUGCCUUUUUGAGUACCUUCGUUUCCUCGGCAGGCUCGCCUGCCAAUGGGGACCCCAAUAAACCCUUUGUAAUACCUGUAAUCGUCUGACAAAACAAACAAAAAUUAAAACUUUCAACAACGGAUCUCUUGGUUCUG
rnacentral:misc_RNA from 1 species